rnacentral:lncRNA from 1 species
CUGGGAGGGAUCACAGUGACAGGCUGUACCAGUCAUGCUGUUCCCCUGUCACUGACAGCAGCUCACAGCACAGCAGGUUAUCUCUGGGAACAAUAUGGGGAUCACGGUUUUUGCAUGGUUGCAUUUUCUGUUGCUCUCUGAUUGCAUGAUUUGAAACCAUACUACUGCACCAAGACAAGUUACUUGGAAUAUGGAACAGAAUAUAACCAUCCAAUAAUUACAACUUCAAUAAUUAUUAAGAUAAAUUCUUAGAAGAAAAAGCAUUUGAAGCACCAUGUUUCCUAAGCAAAUUAUUUAUUUUCUGACAAUGAUUGAAAAAGGUGCUGCGUUUCGCACAAGUAAAAACAUUGAAUUGUCUACUUGAAACUAGAAUUGUGUUUUCUUUUGGAUUUCAGGGGAAGCAACAUCCCUCCGUCCAUGGUGCAUGUCACACCCAGAACCACAACCAAAACCACACCCAGAACUACAACCAAAACCACACCCAGAGCCAGAGUCCCUCUUCCAGGUCCAACAGAAACACUCCAGUCCCUGGGUCAGUCUCUGGAGGCCUUCUCUGGCAAACACACCGUCACGGUCUUUACCUUUGAGAGGGAAAAAGUUUGAAUAAACAAUGGAAAACUGCAAAAAAUUAUUAAAUAGAUUAUUACAAUUAAACAAAAUAUGACUCACUUGAGAAAAGAGGUAUGAGACUCCUUUUCACCACAAUGACUGGACAUCAUGUUCACCUCAUGGAGAAUAUUGUUGAUCUGCAUGGAACCAGGUGGACAACAUUGUCGAUCUACGUGGAACCAGAUGGACAACAUUGUCGAUCUACAUGGAACCAGAUGGACAACAUUGUCGAUCUACAUGGAACGAAGUGGACAACAUUGUCGAUCUAUAUGGAACCAUGUGGACAACAUUGUCGAUCUAUAUGGAACCAGAUGGACAACAUUGUUGAUCUACGUGGAGCUAGGUGGAAAAUAUCAAUGACAUUGAUGAAACCAGGUGGACAACUGGAUUAAUGUAGAUGGAAAUGAGAUAGACAGGGUGCAGAUAAAAAGACAGAUAGAAGAGACAACAGACAGACAUACAGACCGACAUACAGACUGACAUACAGACAGACAUACAGACCGACAUACAGACAGACAUACAGACAGACAUACAGACCGACAUACAGACAAACAUACAGACAUACAGACCGACAUACAGACAAACAGACAGACAUACAGACAGACAUACACGAGAAAGAAGGGCCAGACAGACAGACUACUUGAAUCACCUUCCACUUUAAUUAUAGUAUACAUUAAUCAUGUAUGAAUAAUCUGUAAUCAUAUUGACCUUGAUACCCUGCUUUAAAUGUAUUCAACAUUACAUUGACUUUGAUACCCUGGUGUUAAUGUAUUCAACAUUACAUUGACCUUUUAAUGUAUUCAACAUUGUAUUGUAUGAAGCCCAAAUAGAACUAUAUACCUUAUGUAGAGCACAAUUCUAUUCCUGGUCCCUUAUGUAAGGAUUGUGGUGGGCUGGAGCGUGGGCUGGAGCGUGGGCUGGAGCGUGGGCUUGAGCGUGGGCUGGAGCGUGGGCUGGAGCGUGGGCUGGAGCGUGGGCUUGAGCGUGGGCUGGAGCGUGGGCUGGAGCGUGGGCUUGAGCGUGGACUGGACCGUGGGCUGGAGCGUGGGCUUGAGCGUGGGCUGGAGCGUGGGCUGGAGCGUGGGCUGGAGCGUGGGCUGGAGCACGUUGACCGAGGAACAGAAUGCACAGGUCUCAGAGAAGAAGUAAGUUCUUCCGUACCAAGACAUAUUGUUGCAUGCUGGGAAAUCACUAGAGUAUUUUAAAGAUGUUGGGCACUAUUCCCUAAGGGAUCUCUGGUGAGUGCACUACACAGGGAAUAUGGAGCCAUUUGGGAUCCACAGAGACUCAUAUGGGAACAACAAAAGCUCAUUGAUUUAAUCUGAAUAUACAUUUGGUUUGUAUUAUGAAAAUGAAGAACAUGUACCUGUUCUUCUUAGCUCUGUUGGAUGAGUUAUGACACUGUUAAAUCUCUAUUUUUUUAAGGUAUCAUAUUGAUAUGUUUUAUAUGAAAAGAGAUUUGUUUAAAACUGAUGACUUUAUUUUAUAGAUUUAUGAAACGUUUUGGUAAAUAAUGAUUUAUUUCUCAGUUUCUAUUGAUUAAAUGUUUUGCCUUGACGAACAUGGCAGAUACAGGAGGAAGACAAAAAAUUGCUUCCUUACAAAACCUUGACGUCCUUGCUUCUCAGAAGGUUGUCACAGGGAUAUGAUAUCAGAAGGUUGACGCAGGGAUAUGAUAUCAGAAGGUUGGCGCAGGGAUAUGACAUCAGAAGGUUGUCGCAGGGAUAUGAUAUCAAAAGGUUGGCGCAGGGAUAUGAUAUCAAAAGGUUGUCGCAGCGAUAUGAUAUCAAAAGGUUGUCGCAGCGAUAUGAAAAUAUUGGUAUCAAUUUGCUGCAGGUGUAAGAGCAUAAGUAUGUUUGUUAUGAUUUUUUUGUAUUUAAUUAUUAAUAAUUUAAACAAUUGUGCAAUUGUUUUUCUUAAGUUUUUUUUUUUUUUAUCAGAAUGCUGUAUCACUGUUUUUGAUUGAAGGCAUCUACCUCAGAGUCCACAUCAUGUUUUCCAUUACAACUGCAGCUAAUUCACCUGGGUCCUCACACCAAACUAAAUACACAGUGUACUUCGGUUUGUCCAGUUGCAUACCUGACAAUUUAUUGUUGUUCCUACCUGUUUUUCAUCGCAAAAUGUUUGACCAGAUUACACUGAUUCUUGUCAAGCCAUGUCUUCAGUGUUGAUUUCUAGACAGCUGUCAUCACAGUUCAGAUGCUAACUUGCACUCCCCUCCUCCAUGCACGGUACCACAUCACACUGAACAUGCCUCAUUGUGUCCGGUCCAAAUGUCUGGCUUUGCACAGGGAUAAACAUGACUCACUGACAACUGUAUAGGAACCCAAUCUAUCCGGUUGGUUUAACUGACUUGUGACUGUCAUGACAACAGAUGACUAGCGUCUGCGCUAAGCACCAGGCUGGGGCUGAACACCGUCGAACUAAAGAGAUGGACUGCAUCUCUGCAUCUGUGUCAUAAUCUGAGAGUCGCAAAAAUUAGUCCAUCUUAAUUUAGAAGCAGUCAGUUUUGUUCCACAAAAGUAUAAUUAAUCGGUUGGGCCCUCCUCAUAAUCCUCAUGGAUCAUGUGAUUUUCACUUAAAGAGGCAGUUUGCCCAAAUUACAAAAUGGAAUGUUGGUGUUCUUAAGCAGUUUGGCCUUGCAAUGUUUCCUGAAAGCUUGUGUCUUAUCGUUGGUGGCGCAAAUCCAUCGAAUUCCAGAGACUGCUACAGAGACUGCUACAAAGUGCUAUUUUGUAAUUUGGGUCAACUAUCCCUUUAGCGCUUAACCCAGUGGAACUAUAUCACACCAGACACCAAGCUGGUUAGGGGAGAAAAAUUGUGAAAGAGAGAAUUAACAGUUUUUGGAUAUUGAUUCUGAGUGGAGAUUAGGUGCAUAUUUUCAAUUUGGAGUUUAUUGUUCAUCUUCAUAUUUCAUUUCAUAUUUCAUUGUUGUUGCCAACAUUUUAUUUGGACAUUUCCUCCUUAAUUUGUGACCUAUUUUUGAUAAAUCUUUUCAUGAGGCAGCUGUGCAUGCUUAAAGGACCAACUAUAUAUGCUGAAUAUAUAUCAAUGUAUAUUUAUACUGUAUACUAUAUAUACUAUAGCAUAUAUGUGUGUGUGUGUGUAUGCAUGCGUGCGUGUGUUUGUUUUGCUUGUUGAAGGUAUAUCUUAGUAAAGAUACAUCUCAGUGACUUUAUCCAUAUUUCCUUACUACUUUGUCAAAAUACCACCCAUAUCUUCCCCCUGCUAAAGCAGCGUCAGUCAAGAAGAAUCUCAGAUGUGCUUAAGCGUGACUGGAGGAAAAUAAUAAUGGCACUCAGAUCGAAAAUAUGACCUACAUAAACCAAAAAGGGGUGGGUGCAGCUUUGCCAAUAGUAGACUGAACAGCUCAGAAGCAUGUCUGUAUGUCUCUUUCUACUGCAGCCAGCUCUGCCUGCCUCUUUAGCCUGGUCACAGAUCAAGUUGGGACAAUGACCUAUUACUCGGUUAGAAAGAUUUAGAUUUGAAACCAGGCUACUAUCUCCUAAUCUCAUUGUCAGACAGUUCUCAGUAAAGUCUCCUAAAUGCCUGCAGCCACACUGAUCCUAAGACAGUGUUUAACAUCUGAAGAUCUGCUUCCUGUUUCCAGUCUCCACAUACCCUGGGUGGUGGAUAGCCUCGUCAUUCCAGCAUUCGGUUGGUAACAGAAAGUUCUCUGGUUCAAAUUGCCGAGGCAUCAAGGUGUAACAUAUGUAUUUGAGUAAGUCUCUUAACUGCAUUCACUCUCCCCUUGUUUUUAAACGUCCGCCCCCACAAAAAAAAUGUAAUUCCAUUGGAGGGAAAAAGGUUUAGCCCAACUGUUAGAUGCUAAACCCAUCUCUCUCAAACACCAUCAGUCUGCAGAGACAUGGUGAGAGAAAAGGAGCAAGAUUCAAAGAGCUGAG